CACAUGCAAGUCGAGGGGCAGCGGGAUUGAAGCUUGCUUCAAUUGCCGGCGACCGGCGCACGGGUGAGUAACGCGUAUCCAACCUUCCGUACACUCAGGGAUAGCCUUUCGAAAGAAAGAUUAAUACCUGAUGGUAUGAUGAGAUUGCAUGAUAGCAUCAUUGAAGAUUCAUCGGUGUACGAUGGGGAUGCGUUCCAUUAGGUAGUAGGCGGGGUAACGGCCCACCUAGCCUACGAUGGAUAGGGGUUCUGAGAGGAAGGUCCCCCACAUUGGAACUGAGACACGGUCCAAACUCCUACGGGAGGCAGCAGUGAGGAAUAUUGGUCAAUGGACGAGAGUCUGAACCAGCCAAGUAGCGUGAAGGAUGAAGGUCCUACGGAUUGUAAACUUCUUUUAUAAGGGAAUAAAACCUCCCACGUGUGGGAGCUUGUAUGUACCUUAUGAAUAAGCAUCGGCUAACUCCGUGCCAGCAGCCGCGGUAAUACGGAGGAUGCGAGCGUUAUCCGGAUUUAUUGGGUUUAAAGGGAGCGCAGACGGGUCGUUAAGUCAGCUGUGAAAGUUUGGGGCUCAACCUUAAAAUUGCAGUUGAUACUGGCGUCCUUGAGUGCGGUUGAGGUGUGCGGAAUUCGUGGUGUAGCGGUGAAAUGCUUAGAUAUCACGAAGAACUCCGAUUGCGAAGGCAGCACACUAAGCCGUAACUGACGUUCAUGCUCGAAAGUGUGGGUAUCAAACAGGAUUAGAUACCCUGGUAGUCCACACGGUAAACGAUGGAUACUCGCUGUUGGCGAUAUACCGUCAGCGGCUUAGCGAAAGCGUUAAGUAUCCCACCUGGGGAGUACGCCGGCAACGGUGAAACUCAAAGGAAUUGACGGGGGCCCGCACAAGCGGAGGAACAUGUGGUUUAAUUCGAUGAUACGCGAGGAACCUUACCCGGG
rnacentral:rRNA from 1 species